rnacentral:lncRNA from 1 species
AGAUGAGGGAACGUAGGAACACUGGGGACUCUCCCCCAACUUACCAGGCCCCAGAAGUUAUUUCCCAGGCAGCGUUUUGACCAAGAUUGACAGAAAAAACUCACUAAGGGAGCCCCAAGGAAAGAACUUCGGUGAGCAAGACUUGAGGAAGAGGGCGUUAGGCCGCUGUGGUCCAGGACACGUCAGUUACAUGUGAAUCCCUUCUGGCAAUUCAGCAAUAGCCAUUGUAACUUUCAGGUUUUUGAUGUGGUCUCCUUUUUGCAGACAAUAGAGUUAUAUCCUCUCUUACUUCUGAGGUCUGCUGCCUUGUGGCAGAAGUUGACCACAUGGAAAUUUUCCACUUGGAAAUUCACACGUUGUUUCCUCUUGGUUUAUCGGUAGGCAGAAGUUACUACAUGGAGGGAGGGGGGAAACUGGUUUAACCUUGGCUGCUUGAUAGUGGAUCUGAAAGUCUAGUAUUGCAUGAGAAGUCCCUGCUAGAUAAAAUGUAAUAUUGGGGUCCCAUCUCCAGUGACUGUGGUUUAGUAGUUCCGGGUGGGCCUUGGCAGUAUACGUUUUUGAGCAAGCACCCCAAUAACUCUCAUAUGCAUGUUUCAAGACCUCGUGAUGUGGAGUACUGAUCUAGGUCCUCUUAGAACAGGAUGGAAGUUUGCUGAAGCGGGGACAAGAUUGGCCAUUGUGAAUGAUACUAACAUUGUGAUUAAGAGAACAAAUGUCUCUUUAGAUCUAAAGUCCUAAGCUUUUUGUCUUAGGCUGAAUUCCCCAGGAGGAGAGCCUAGACUGGUAUUUGGGUGUAUGUGAUGCAUUGGCGUGGUCUCAGGAAAAAGAUUAUAAAGGAAGUAGGAGAGCGCAAAGUAAGGCCCUAAGCAAGGGUGUGGGUUCAGCCGGAGGCUAGCUUUACUCGGAUCCCACAGGGAGCUCUGCGCGUGAGUUGUACCACAUGGCAUAUCCCACCCUGAGGAAAGAAGGCUAGCUUUUGGUACCUUUUGACAGCCAGUCACUGGCUGUGAGCUACCCUGGAAUGGGAGAUAGAAUCUUCUGGAUGAGCAGAGGGCAGAUCUCCAGGGAGAAGGCCUCUGUUGCCAUUAGCAACCAACCCUCAUGGCCACUGGGGAAUGGAUGCACCAGCCAGGUAAAAGGGACCGAGAAGAGUCACCAACAGCAUCCAUUGUGUUAUGACACCGUAGUGUCACAUGAGAGGCAUUUCACACUAUGGCUCCUGUUCUUGGUCACCCUGGCCACUCUUGCUGCUAUAAGCUUGCUACUCUUAAGUUUUUUGUUUGUUUGUUAUCAUUACAAGGGAAAACAUGGAUAGCAAAAAUAUUUGGCUUUUUGCUUUUUAGUAUUUCCCUUCUUGUGCUUUAGUAAAAAUUGUCAUCCUGCAGCAAAGUGUAGAUAAUAUGGCAGCAUCCUUUGUCAAUUUUGUCUCCUCACUUGAAGAAACAAUGACUUUGAAUACUGAAUUAUGGGUCCUUAGGCUGUAGUGAAAUCUUAAUGUGCUUUACUCAAAACUUCCUUUGCAGAUGAGUCCGUCUCACGCUUCUUGUAAUGAGAUUGCUCGUGGGGGAUGUUCGUUUGUUUAGGACUUUCUGUGAGAAAUAUGCUGUUCUGGAGACUAUUGAACUGGUUGUCAUUGGUUACUUGGCUUUAUUAAAUAAAACAGCCUCUUCUCAACUACCUUCUGUGGAACAUUAGUGUCUUUUGUACUGUAUUCUAUAGGAAAUAAGUCCUAUGGUCAAAUAAUUUUGGAGGGGAGGUGUUCUGUAUACUGUUUCCUUCUAGGAGAUUCACAGAGCACUUUGGCCUGUUAGAAGGUUCUCCAGACCCUGCAGGAAAGAAAACUGUUUACUCUUGCUUGGCUGAUCGAUUCUCAAACCUACCUGCUCAUGGAGAUGCUUGUCAUCACUGCCUCCCUCCUUUUUAUUUUUUCAGAAUACACAUUACCAGUUUACAGGACUAAUGUUCCAUAGUACACAGUUUGGAGAAUACCGAAAUGAAACUUUAUUCCUCAUCAUGUAUUACCAGGGCUUUCUGAGCAGCGAAGAACCAGUUCCACUCUUUUAUGUUGUAAAACCGGUCUCGACGCCUUAUCUACAUGCAAGGCAGGUGCAAAGCAGAUUUGGGGAUCAAAGUAGUCUCUGGAGAAAAAGGAUAGGUUAUUUGUUUGUCAUGCUGAAGGGGCUGUAAAAACAGUAACAUACUUAAUGAGGCUUCACUAUGGAUAUAUUAGUCUCCAUAAAACAUUUUAUUUAGCCUAACCUACAAUUACUUAAUGGCCAGUGAGUUUCAUAAACAGCUAGUCCCCAGCCUCAAACAUAUAUUAAGUGUCUGUUCUUUUGUGGAGUGAGUUUGCCAGGGAGAGUCAUGCAAGAUUAAAAAGAUAGAACAUUAAAAAUUCAGCCAAGACACACCAGGGCUGCCCUGAUGAUAACAACUACGGUGUGAUGUUUCUCAGUUCAUAUGGAUUCCCCAUACUGUUCUCAGUAGAAGAUAACCCUGCUAUUGCCCAAUACUCUUUCAUUAAAAAAUUAUUUGCACAGUCAUGGGUGUAUGGCAUUUCUUUUUUUGCUUAAGACAGACCCUCGGUGAGUUGAAUUUUUCUAAGGAAUUUUGAAUUGUAAGAGACAGAAAUGAAUGAAUAUUUAUUUAGAGGAAAAAUAUUGAGUCCUUACAUUUCCUACAGCACUUUGAAGUUUGCAGAGGGCUCCCUUCCCCCUUCCUCAACUAUCACUUUUGUACUUAAACAAAACCUCUGUGAGACAGUAGUAUUACCAGCACCACAAAAGUAGCAGAGGACUCUUGGAAAGCUGGCCAGAGCAGCCUUACAGAAUUCAGAAGCUUUAUUUACAUUCACCUGAACCGUUAUCCUAACUUCCUUCCUUCCUACUUAGUUAUGUUCAAUCAACUUAUCAUCUAGACUCAGCCACGAGCUUACUGUGUGUCCUGAUCCAUUGCUUAGCAAUCGUUCCCUCUUGGAUCAUGAGAGGUGGUAAGUUUCUAGGAUAUGUGUGUGAGUGCAUAUGUGUGCAAAUGUGUAGGAAUUGGUGAGGGAUGAAGGACUCAGAGAUCAUCUUUAGACAGAGUCCUGUGUUCCCCACCCAGGCGUGUGGAUUUUCUCUAGUAAGAAGGGUGAGGAGGCUAGGAUCUCGGAUGCCUUGGGCAACGUGGAAGAGGGCUUGGUACAGCAGAGGCUGUUACGGUGAAUAUGGGGGUCAGAGGAUGAAGGUCUGGGAAAUGGAUGGAGCCAAGGCAAUGGAGGGGAUUCCUGAGGUGGAACUGACCAGUCUUGGAGGUAAGGGAGAUACAGCAACUCAAGAUAUUGAUGAGGCGUCUAAUAGAGGUGGCCAAUAGUGCUGUUAUCAGAGAAGAGAACAAGAGGGAGACAACUGGGGUGGUAGCCUAGGGGGCGGCGGCGGGAGAGUUGAAACGAUAGAAGCCACUUUAGGAUGUGAUGAGCUUGAAGUGAAAUGUUUAGGUAGCUUGAAGUAGCCAUCCACAUUACAGAGAAAGAGAACAAAACCUGAGAUUUAGAGUUAAUGCUCGACAGUGUGUAAAGACCUGGACGCACAGACCAAAGUAUCUAGGAAGAGGGUGGCACCAGAUUGAAUCAGCCCACAUGACUCACACAUGUUAGAAAUGUCAUAUGUAUAUAUAUAUAUAUGUAUUUGGUCUUUUUUUUUGCCAUUUCUUGGGCCGCUCCUGCGGCAUAUGGAGGUUCCCAGGCUAGGAGUCGAAUCGGAGCUGUAGCCACUGGCCUACACCAGAGCCACAGCAACGCAGGAUCCGAGCCACGUCUGUGACCUACACCACAGCUCACGGCAAUACCAGAUCCUUAACCCACUGAGCAAGGCCAGGGAUCGAACCCGCAACCUCAUGGUUCCUAGUCAGAUUCGUUAACCACUGUGCCACAAUGGGAACUCUGGAAAUGUCAUAUGUUUUUACAACGUGUAAGGCAACUCCAUUUCAUACCGAGCACUCCUCCUUGUAGUCUGGGGGAAAACCUAAUUUCGUAUCUUUGAUUUUCCCUUCCUGAGGCAGUGCUGAGACAUCAGGAUGCAGAGUGGUGAUCUGGUCCUUGGUCACCUGUUGGGUAGGUUAUUUGCCAAGGCUUGCCAUCAUUCCUACUAGAUCCUUUUUCUCUGCCAUGGCUGUGCCAUGAGAUGCCACUUGUUGUUUUGUCUGAUGAGCUUCAGCUCCACCCAGCUCUUGGGCUUGGAGUUUUGCUGUCAACCUUUUGGGAGUGUGAGGGAAGCAUGGCUGCUCUGGGAUCCUUUGGUAUCGUUCGUCUUUCCUCUCUGAGUUUUAGCCCAGGGACCUCUCUUUCUAGGGCAGGGAAGGAGGAAAGGAUGAAGCGCCCUUCCUCUCGCUUCUCACAUACCCUCCCCUCUUCUCCCCCAAACCACCACUUCUCUUAAGGGCUUAAACAUGUUUGUGUGUGUGUGUGUGUGUUGGGGGAAAGGCAGACAGACUUGCUGGUUAUUUGCUUAUGGCCCUGAUGCAUGCCUCCUGGUAGCUGUGGAGGAUCACGAUGGCUACCACACUGAACUGGGAGGACGGAAACAAACAAAUACAGAUACAGAGAGAAACAAGAGUAAUAUCUGAAAAUACCAUCUAGCUACAGUGUUCAAGUAAGAGGAGAAACCAAGCAGGCUUUGGGCUACAGAGUAUAGAGACAAGAGAGAACAGGAAGAUGACAUCCAGGGAAGAAGCCAGAAAGCUCCCAGAGAAUGCAACAAAAAGCACCACUCUCAGGGUGUCGAGAUGCAAGACAAGGCCCCAGCUAUGAUGAUACCAGGACAUGCCAGAGGAGGGCAGGCGAGUCAUAGCCCGGGGCUUUAAAGUAAGCCUGUGGAGUUCCCAUUGUGGCUCAGAGGUAGCAAACAUGACUAGUAUCCAUGAGGACUCGGGUUCGAUCCCUGGCCUCGCUCAGCGGGUUAAGGGUCCAGUGUUGCUGGGAGAGCGUCAGUGUAGGUUGCAGAUGAGGCUUGGAUCCCAAAUUGCUGUGGCUGUGGCUGGCAGCUGCAGCUCCAAUUUGAUCCCUAGCCUGGGAAACUCCAUAUGCCAUAGGUGUAGCCC